rnacentral:rRNA from 1 species
CCUACGGGAGGCAGCAGUGAGGAAUAUUGGUCAAUGGGCGGGAGCCUGAACCAGCCAAGUAGCGUGAAGGAUGACAGCCCUAUGGGUUUUAAACUUCUUUUAUAAGGGAAUAAAGUGCCACAAGUGUGGGGUUUUGUAUGUACCUUCUGAAUAAGCAUCGGCUAAUUCCGUGCAAGCAGCCGCGGUUAUACGGAAGAUGCGAGCGUUAUCCGGAUUUAUUGGGUUUAAAGGUUGCGUAGGCGGUACAUAAAGUCAGCGGUAAAAUCGUACGGCUAAACCGUAGCGUGCCGUUGAAACUGUGUGACUUGAGUAUACGCAGGGUACAUGGAAUUCGUGGUGUAGCGGUGAAAUGCUUAGAUAUCACGAAGAACUCCGAUCGCGAAGGCAUUGUACCGGAGCAAGACUGACGCUGAGGCACGAAAGUGCGGGGAGCAAACAGGAUUAGAUACCCGAGUAGUC